UUUGAGGCGGACGGACGCUUUUUGGAUUCGUGCUGGUCACCGCGGAAAAUAUUAAAAAAGAUGGCGGAUCGCUCCAAACGAGGAAAGAUACAGCGCAAAAAGGAGAGUUACGACGAUGGCGCAGUUACAGCUCCCGAAUGGGUCGUCGAGAAGGAUGUUCCUCGGAGCAAACCAUCGACGAAGCUAACCAAAAAGGACAGAAAAAUAAUAAAACUGAAAGAGGAAAAGGCUAAGAUGGCAGAGGAACUGAAAAAUCUACGAGCCGAGAUUGAAGCAUUGAAAGCAGGAAGAGCCUCUAAUUCAACAGGGGUUAGUUGGAUUUUUAGGGGUUUUUAGAGAAAAUAAUACGUUUAAUAAAAUAAAAUAAAAAUAGUUAGGUAACUGUAUGCGGAGAACAAAACAGCUGGCAUAGCGACUGUUACGUCAUAGCUAUGGUUGAAACCAAACUAGAAGAUGGUACGAUAAUCGCUUCGGUAGCUGAUAUGCGAUGCGAUUUUCUCAUUGACUCCGAUGCACAGGUCAACACACUUGUUGAGAGAUUUUUCUGGAGACUGACAAACGACGAGCAAUGCAACAAGGGAAUGUACAAUAUUAGCGUUGGAUCAAAUAUCUUAAAUACCAAUAUAGUUCACUUACGUGAAAUUAUGCAAACAAAUUGAAAAUGACAGAA